rnacentral:rRNA from 1 species
GUCUAUGGCUGUACCACCCUCAAUGUGCCCAGUCUUUUCAGCUCCCUGAAGCUAAGCGGGGUUGAGCCUGGCUAGUAUUUGGAUGGGAGAGUGGGAAUACCUGGUGCUGUAGGCU